CUGCGGCAGCGACACUGUGUGUUGUUGGGUAGGGGAGCGUUCUGUAAGCCUGUGAAGGUGGCCUGUGAGGGUUGCUGGAGGUAUCAGAAGUGCGAAUGCUGACAUAAGUAACGAUAAAGCGGGUGAAAAGCCCGCUCGCCGGAAGACCAAGGGUUCCUGUCCAACGUUAAUCGGGGCAGGGUGAGUCGACCCCUAAGGCGAGGCCGAAAGGCGUAGUCGAUGGGAAACAGGUUAAUAUUCCUGUACUUGGUGUUACUGCGAAGGGGGGACGGAGAAGGCUAUGUUGGCCGGGCGACGGUUGUCCCGGUUUAAGCGUGUAGGCUGGUUUUCCAGGCAAAUCCGGAAAAUCAAGGCUGAGGCGUGAUGACGAGGCACUACGGUGCUGAAGCAACAAAUGCCCUGCUUCCAGGAAAAGCCUCUAAGCAUCAGGUAACAUCAAAUCGUACCCCAAACCGACACAGGUGGUCAGGUAGAGAAUACCAAGGCGCUUGAGAGAACUCGGGUGAAGGAACUAGGCAAAAUGGUGCCGUAACUUCGGGAGAAGGCACGCUGACACGUAGGUGAAGUGAUUUACUCACGGAGCUGAAGUCAGUCGAAGAUACCAGCUGGCUGCAACUGUUUAUUAAAAACACAGCACUGUGCAAACACGAAAGUGGACGUAUACGGUGUGACGCCUGCCCGGUGCCGGAAGGUUAAUUGAUGGGGUCAGCGCAAGCGAAGCUCCUGAUCGAAGCCCCGGUAAACGGCGGCCGUAACUAUAACGGUCCUAAGGUAGCGAAAUUCCUUGUCGGGUAAGUUCCGACCUGCACGAAUGGCGUAAUGAUGGCCAGGCUGUCUCCACCCGAGACUCAGUGAAAUUGAACUCGCUGUGAAGAUGCAGUGUACCCGCGGCAAGACGGAAAGACCCCGUGAACCUUUACUAUAGCUUGACACUGAACAUUGAGCCUUGAUGUGUAGGAUAGGUGGGAGGCUUUGAAGUGUGGACGCCAGUCUGCAUGGAGCCGACCUUGAAAUACCACCCUUUAAUGUUUGAUGUUCUAACGUGGACCCGUAAUCCGGGUUGCGGACAGUGUCUGGUGGGUAGUUUGACUGGGGCGGUCUCCUCCUAAAGAGUAACGGAGGAGCACGAAGGUUGGCUAAUCCUGGUCGGACAUCAGGAGGUUAGUGCAAUGGCAUAAGCCAGCUUGACUGCGAGCGUGACGGCGCGAGCAGGUGCGAAAGCAGGUCAUAGUGAUCCGGUGGUUCUGAAUGGAAGGGCCAUCGCUCAACGGAUAAAAGGUACUCCGGGGAUAACAGGCUGAUACCGCCCAAGAGUUCAUAUCGACGGCGGUGUUUGGCACCUCGAUGUCGGCUCAUCACAUCCUGGGGCUGAAGUAGGUCCCAAGGGUAUGGCUGUUCGCCAUUUAAAGUGGUACGCGAGCUGGGUUUAGAACGUCGUGAGACAGUUCGGUCCCUAUCUGCCGUGGGCGCUGGAGAACUGAGGGGGGCUGCUCCUAGUACGAGAGGACCGGAGUGGACGCAUCACUGGUGUUCGGGUUGUCAUGCCAAUGGCACUGCCCGGUAGCUAAAUGCGGAAGAGAUAAGUGCUGAAAGCAUCUAAGCACGAAACUUGCCCCGA
rnacentral:rRNA from 1 species